rnacentral:rRNA from 1 species
GACGAACGCUGGCGGCGUGCCUAACACAUGCAAGUCGAACGGAGUGAAGCGCUGAAAUGAAGGUAGCUUGCUACUGAAUUUUCUUGUUUCACUUAGUGGCGGACGGGUGAGUAACGCGUGAGGAACCUGCCCUACAGAGGGGGACAACAGUUGGAAACGACUGCUAAUACCGCAUGAUGUGUCGAGGGGACAUCCCCUUGACACCAAAGGAGCAAUCCGCUGUAGGAUGGCCUCGCGUCCGAUUAGGUAGUUGGUGAGGUAACGGCUCACCAAGCCGACGAUCGGUAGCCGGACUGAGAGGUUGAACGGCCACAUUGGGACUGAGACACGGCCCAGACUCCUACGGGAGGCAGCAGUGGGGGAUAUUGCACAAUGGGGGAAACCCUGAUGCAGCAACGCCGCGUGAAGGAAGAAGGUCUUCGGAUUGUAAACUUCUGUUUUUAGUGACGAAACAAAUGACGGUAGCUAAAGAGGAAGCUACGGCUAACUACGUGCCAGCCGCCGCGGUAAAAC